UUAAGUCCCGCAACGAGCGCAACCCUUAUCCUUUGUUGCCAGCGGUCCGGCCGGGAACUCAAAGGAGACUGCCAGUGAUAAACUGGAGGAAGGUGGGGAUGACGUCAAGUCAUCAUGGCCCUUACGACCAGGGCUACACACGUGCUACAAUGGCGCAUACAAAGAGAAGCGACCUCGCGAGAGCAAGCGGACCUCAUAAAGUGCGUCGUAGUCCGGAUUGGAGUCUGCAACUCGACUCCAUGAAGUCGGAAUCGCUAGUAAUCGUGGAUCAGAAUGCCACGGUGAAUACGUUCCCGGGCCUUGUACACACCGCCCGUCACACCAUGGGAGUGGGUUGCAAAAGAAGUAGGUAGCUUAACCUUCGGGAGGGCGCUUACCACUUUGUGAUUCAUGACUGGGGUGAAGUCGUAACAAGGUAACCGUAGGGGAACCUGCGGUUGGA
rnacentral:rRNA from 1 species